rnacentral:tRNA from 1 species
CGACCGGCUGGGACGACGAGAAAGCCUCCGGUCUUCCAGGGACCGGAGGCUUUUUCGGUUCAUCACCCGGCUCGGCCGG